UGUAGCCCGCUAUUUCGAGCCCUGCUCGGCUAAGAGAACCGUGUUAGUUGCGCAGAAUUGAAAUCCACGUUUUUGUUUCAGAAUGUGAUGGGCUGUCUCAGUGUUAACCCAGGCCGGUUAACCAAAGGUUUAGUCGGUGGUACAUAUACUCGCUUGUUACUGACGAAAGAUCAAGGCGUACAGAAUGUAGUCGAUGCUUCUCUUGUACAAAUUGUCAAGAUAUGAACACAAUAAGAUGGAUUGUCAAACUGUAUAUUAAAAUACUUCUCCUCAGAUUUGGAGAAAUAUUGAAUCACCUAGAAUUUUAAAUCGAAUGUAAAUACCAUAUCUCUCGAGCUUUCUUCAAAAUGAAACACGCAGAAACAAAAUUACCUAAUGUUCUCCGUGUAAUAAUAUCUCCGGCAAAUCCGACUUAUGAGGACUGGACUAGAUUUCAAGUCCAGGCAAUUUGUAGCCUGCGUAGCAGUCGGUUUAUUUUAUUGUAGGUUUUGAGGAUUUUUGAAUAUAAAAUGGCGAGUUAGAAAAAAUGGCCGAAGAAAAAAAAGGGCGAGAAGAAUAAAAUAAAGCGACUGCUACACAGGCUAGGCAAUUUGAGGUGAAUUAAUUUUGACCAGUCCAAAGAUUGAAUUAAUUUUGAUCGACUGGAUCAAUAUAUACUUCACCAGGUAUCCGGUAUUAUCAUGUGAACAAAAUAAAGAAAUAUGGUUGGUUAAUUUAUGAAAAUUAUUAAUUAGUUUGGUAUACCCAAUUAAUAAUUUUAAUAACAUGCACGUAUGUAUGGUUGGUCUGAUUUACGGAA